GUAGUCCUACGGGGGGCAGCAGUGAGGGAUAUUGGUCAAUGGGGGGAACCCUGAACCAGCAACGCCGCGUGAGGGAAGACGGUUUUCGGAUUGUAAACCUCUAUCCUCUGUGAAGAUAAUGACGGUAGCAGAGGAGGAAGCUCCGGCUAACUACGUGCCAGCAGCCACGGUAAUACGUAGGUGGCGAGCGUUAUCCGGAAUGAUUGGGCGUAAAGGGUGCGCAGGCGGUCCUGCAAGUCUGGAGUGAAACGCAUGAGCUCAACUCAUGCAUGGCUUUGGAAACUGGAGGACUGGAGAGCAGGAGG
rnacentral:rRNA from 1 species